CAAGUUUUCUCUUCAAUUCCAGAUCCUGAUUCUGAUACGGGCAACCACAGUCUGCUCCCUGGUGACUGGGUUCUGGUCAAGAAAUUUGUGCGAAAACACACCCUGGAACCAAGAUUUGAUGGACCGUUCAAAGUUCUCCUGAUCUCCCCUUCCUCUGUCAAAUUGGCCGGAGGGCCUAACUGGAUCCACGCUUCCCAUUGCAAGAAGACACCUGCCCCAGAGGAAGCUAACUCUAUG